rnacentral:rRNA from 1 species
CAAUAGCGUAUAUCAAAGUUGUUGCAGUUAAAAAGCUCGUAGUUGGAUUUCGGGGUGGCCUGGCUGGUCCGCCGCAAGGUGAGUACUGGUCAGCCGCCCUUCCUCUCGAAAGCCCCGACUGCUCUUUACUGCAGUGGUCGGGUAGUUCGGGACGUUUACUUUGAAAAAAUUAGAGUGUUCAAGGCAGGCUAUCGCCUGAAUACAUUAGCAUGGAAUAAUGGAAGAGGACCUCGGUCCUAUUUUGUUGGUUUCUAGGGCCGAAGUAAUGAUUAAGAGGGACAGUUGGGGGCAUUCGUAUUUAAUUGUCAGAGGUGAAAUUCUUGGAUUUAUGAAAGACGAACUAGUGCGAAAGCAUUUGCCAAGGAUGUUUUCAUUAA